CCUGCGAGUCCCUUUUUUCCUCUUUUCACCUUCUAGUCUCCCUCCAGUGCCUCCUCUUGGCAGAACCUAACCAGAAAUCAGCUGACAAGGGAGUCUGGGAACCAGUGUCCUGUGCCUUUUGGAUUUUGAUCAAAAUUGCUCCAUAGAUCAACCUGGGGAGAACGGAAUCUUUCCUUCAGAGAACCUGUUAAUAUACCGGCAAGAACAUCUAAGGAUAAAAAGGAGUGGUGAUCAUGCACAUCCUCACCUCAUUCCAGAUUUUGAAGUGU